ensembl:misc_RNA Metazoa_SRP Metazoan signal recognition particle RNA
GCUGGGCAUGGUGGCGCAUGCCUGUAAUCCCAGCUACUAGGAGGCUGAGGCAGGAGAAUUGCCUGAACCCAGGAGGCAGAGGUUGCAGUGAGCCAAAAUUUUGCCAUUGCACUCCAGCCUGGGUAACAAGAGCUAAACUCUGUCUCAA